ACGUUCAAAUACCGGUUCCCGUACGUCCACGGAAGUUAAGCAAAGUCGAGCCUGGUCAGUACCUAGAUGAGUGAACGCUUAAUAAUAACAGGUGCCGUAAG